CUCAACAAAAUUUCUCUCUCUUUCCCAUUGCCCAUUUUGAUCCAUUUUCUUCUUCAACUCAAUUUCAUUUCUAUAGAUCCUCAAAUCAAGCAAUUCUAAACUCCACAAGAGCAUAAACUAAACAUUCUAAUGGCUCAUACGAAGAAAACAACUCAUAAAUCAAUAGGAGGCAAAACACCAAGGAAGCAGCAAGAAAAUCAACACUUUAAACAAUUAGCAAGCUUUCAUUCCAG
rnacentral:lncRNA from 1 species